AACGCAGGGAACGUGAAGAGGAACGAUGAGAUGAUCCAGCUAAGCCCCAAGAUGCCGUCGAUCAAGGCAGCCGAGCUACCAUGGGUCUGUGUGAGCAGCUUGCCGGAGAGACGCAGGUUGAUGAUCCAGAUCUUGCUCAAGACCAACCUCGUGAUACCGCUCGCCGCCAUCGUCAUCUGCAACACCUUCGAGGGGAUCGAGUCAGAGGCGCUGGAUCUCGUCCCCAACAUGCUGCCCGUUGGCCUCCUCGAAGCGCCGGCGGCGUCGAGGUCCGCCGGCCAACUCUGGUCGGAGGACCCUGUCUGACUGCCCUGGCUCGACGCGCAGGCCCGCGGCUCCAUCAUCUACGUGGCGUUCGGGAGCUUCAUCGUCUUCGACGCGGCGCGGGUCCAGGACAGGGCCGGCCCUGAUGAGCUCACGGGUCGGCCUUUUCUUUGGGCGGUCCGGCCGAACAUCACCGCCGGAAUCAUAGAAGACUGGUUCGACGCGUUCAAGCGCCGCGUGGAUGGCAAGGGGGUGGUCCUGGGCUGGGCGCCACAGCAGCGCGUGCUCUCGCACCCCACUGUUGCCUGCUCCGUGUCGCACUGCGGGUGGAACUCGACCAUGGAAGGCAUGCUGCACGGUGUGCCGUUCCUGUGCUGGCCCUACUUCGCCGACCAGUUCGCCAACCAGAGCUAGAUAUGCAACGUGUGGGGCACAGGUGUCAAGAUCCACGCCGACGAGAAAGGGGUGUUCACCAAGGAGGAGGUCAAGGACAAGGUCGAGCUGCUGCUGGGUGACGAUGGGAUAAAGGCAAGGGCGGCUACGUGGAAGGACACGACGUGUACGAGCAUCGCAGAGGGAGGCUCGCCAGAUCAGAACCUGCUCAAGCUUGUGAAAUUUGUAACACAACAAUAG
rnacentral:rRNA from 1 species